UACAGAGGUCCCGAGCGUUGUUCGGAUUCAUUGGGCGUAAAGGGUGCGUAGGUGGCGCCGUAAGUCGGGUGUGAAAUUUCGGAGCUUAACUCCGAAACUGCAUUCGAUACUGCGGUGCUUGAGGACUGGAGAGGAGACUGGAAUUCAUGGUGUAGCAGUGAAAUGCGUAGAGAUCAUGAGGAAGACCAGUGGCGAAGGCGGGUCUCUGGGCCGUAACUGACGCUGAGGAGCGAAAGCAUGGGGAGCGAACAGG
rnacentral:rRNA from 1 species